AAUGAACGCUGGCGGUAGGCCUAACACAUGCAAGUCGAACGGCAGCACAGGGGAGCUUGCUCCCCAGGUGGCGAGUGGCGGACGGGUGAGGAAUACAUCGGAAUCUACCCUGUCGUGGGGGAUAACGUAGGGAAACUUACGCUAAUACCGCAUACGACCCACGGGUGAAAGCGGAGGACCGCAAGGCUUCGCGCGACUGGAUGAGCCGAUGUCGGAUUAGCUUGUUGGCGGGGUAAUGGCCCACCAAGGCGACGAUCCGUAGCUGGUCUGAGAGGAUGAUCAGCCACACUGGAACUGAGACACGGUCCAGACUCCUACGGGAGGCAGCAGUGGGGAAUAUUGGACAAUGGGCGCAAGCCUGAUCCAGCCAUACCGCGUGGGUGAAGAAGGCCUUCGGGUUGUAAAGCCCUUUUGUUGGGAAAGAAAUCCUGCCGGUUAAUACCCGGUAGGGAUGACGGUACCCAAAGAGUAAGCACCGGCUAACUUCGUGCCAGCAGCCGCGGUAAUACGAAGGGUGCAAGCGUUACUCGGAAUUACUGGGCGUAAAGGCGUGCGUAGGUGGUUCGUUAAGUCUGAUGUGAAAGCCCUGGGCUCAACCUGGGAAUUGCACUGGAUACUGGCGGGCUAGAGUGCGGUAGCAAGGAUGGCGGAAAUUCCCGGUGUAGCAGUGAAAUGCGUAGAGAUCGGGAGGAACAUCUGUGGGCG
rnacentral:rRNA from 1 species